GAUUCUGGCUCAGAACGAACGCUGGCGGCAGGCCUAACACAUGCAAGUCGAGCGCGCCCUUCGGGGUGAGCGGCGGACGGGUUAGUAACGCGUGGGAACGUACCCUUUGGUAGGGAAUAGCCACUGGAAACGGUGAGUAAUACCCUAUGAGCCCUUCGGGGGAAAGAUUUAUCGCCAAAGGAUCGGCCCGCGUUAGAUUAGGUAGUUGGUGGGGUAAUGGCCUACCAAGCCUACGAUCUAUAGCUGGUUUUAGAGGAUGAUCAGCAACACUGGGACUGAGACACGGCCCAGACUCCUACGGGAGGCAGCAGUGGGGAAUCUUGGACAAUGGGGGCAACCCUGAUCCCAGCCAUGCCGCGUGAGUGAAGAAGGCCUUAGGGUCGUAAAGCUCUUUCGCCUGUGAAGAUAAUGACGGUAGCAGGUAAAGAAACCCCGGCUAACUCCGUGCCAGCAGCGGC
rnacentral:rRNA from 1 species